UACGAAGGGGGCUAGCGUUGCUCGGAAUCACUGGGCGUACAGCGCACGUAGGCGGCUUGUUAAGUCAGGGGUGAAAUCCUGGAGCUCAACUCCAGAACUGCCUUUGAUACUGGCGAGCUUGAGUUCGGGAGAGGUGAGUGGAACUGCGAGUGUAGAGGUGGAAUUCGUAGAUAUUCGCAAGAACACCAGUGGCGAAGGCGGCUCACUGGCCCGAUACUGACGCUGAGGUGCGAAAGCGUGGGGAGCAAACAGG
rnacentral:rRNA from 1 species